GAUGAACGCUGGCGGCGUGCCUAAUACAUGCAAGUCGAGCGAGCAGACGAGGAGCUUGCUCCUCUGACGUUAGCGGCGGACGGGUGAGUAACACGUGGAUAACCUACCUAUAAGACUGGGAUAACUUCGGGAAACCGGAGCUAAUACCGGAUAAUAUAUUGAACCGCAUGGUUCAAUAGUGAAAGACGGUUUUGCUGUCACUUAUAGAUGGAUCCGCGCCGCAUUAGCUAGUUGGUAAGGUAACGGCUUACCAAGGCAACGAUGCGUAGCCGACCUGAGAGGGUGAUCGGCCACACUGGAACUGAGACACGGUCCAGACUCCUACGGGAGGCAGCAGUAGGGAAUCUUCCGCAAUGGGCGAAAGCCUGACGGAGCAACGCCGCGUGAGUGAGGAAGGUCUUCGGAUCGUAAAACUCUGUUAUUAGGGAAGAACAAAUGUGUAAGUAACUAUGCACGUCUUGACGGGACCUAAUCAGAAAGCCACGGCUAACUACGU
rnacentral:rRNA from 1 species